rnacentral:rRNA from 1 species
UGCCAGCAGCCGCGGUAAUACGGGGGGGGCUAGCGUUGUUCGGAAUUAUUGGGCGUAAAGGGCGCGUAGGCGGUCGUGCAAGUCGGAGGUGAAAUCCCUCGGCUCAACCGAGGAAUUGCCCCCGAAACUGCAUGACUUGAGUCCCGGAGAGGGUAGCGGAAUUCCCAGUGUAGCGGUGAAAUGCGUAGAUAUUGGGAGGAACACCAGUGGCGAAGGCGGCUACCUGGACGGGUACUGACGCUGAGGCGCGAAAGCGUGGGGAGCAAACAGGAUUAGAUA